rnacentral:lncRNA from 1 species
GGCCUGGUCGUCACGCCCAAGCGUAGAUGUGAACAGCGUGGGAAUGGGGUAGAGCGAGCAUCACAUCCCAGGGUUUCCUCAUCCAUCUCCGCCUGGCCCAGAAACAGAAACAACCCAGCCGCCCUCCGUCAUUCUAACGAGUGUGGCGAUGGAUUUACACGGGGAGCGUCCGCGAGGGGGCGAGUGAUCCUGAUUAUGCUUUGGGAUUGAGUGUAACGAGAGAACCUUGGUCCGAAUGCCCGUCGGCCUGAUUUCAAAGGUCCAGUUCCAGGUCCACAUGGUACAGGGUACCUUUGCCCCCUUCCUGUCUCCGCCCUUCUCCCCAGCCGCACGUGGGUUUGGAAACGCAGUCCUGGUGGAGGACACAGGAUGAACAUGCGACCUGUGAGGAUUCAGGAGGCUGCUCGUCUCAUUCAAGGCACCAUUGAUUUGACAG